AAUACUGGCUCAGGAUGAACGCUGACAGAAUGCUUAACACAUGCAAGUCUGCUUGAACUUCGGUUUGGGUGGCGGACGGGUGAGUAACGCGUAAAGAACUUGCCUCACAGUUAGGGACAACAUUUGGAAACGAAUGCUAAUACCUGAUAUUAUGAUUUUAGGGCAUCCUAAGAUUAUGAAAGCUAUAUGCGCUGUGAGAGAGCUUUGCGUCCCAUUAGCUAGUUGGAGAGGUAACGG
rnacentral:rRNA from 1 species